rnacentral:rRNA from 1 species
AUGUUAAUAGCAUAUUCAUUUGACGUUAGCUGCAGAAGAAGCACCGGCUAACUCCGUGCCAGCAGCCGCGGUAAUACGGAGGGUGCGUAGCGUUAAUCGGAAUUACUGGGCGUAAAGCGUCAUGCAGGUGGUUUGUUAAGUCAGAUGUGAAAGCCCGGGGCUCAACCUCGGAAUUGCAUUUGAAACUGGCAAACUAGAGUACUGUAGAGGGGGUAGAAUUUCAGGUGUAGCGGUGAAAAUGCGUAGAGAUCUGAAGGAAUACCGGUGGCGAAGGCGGCCCCCUGGACAGAUACUGACACUCAGAUGCGAAAGCGUGGGGAGCAAACAGGAUUAGAUACCCUGGUAG